rnacentral:piRNA from 1 species
UAGGCAUAAGACAGUAAAUACGAGAUCGUC